rnacentral:miRNA from 1 species
AAUUGAUGACUCAGGCAGGGAC